CCUACGGGCGGCAGCAGUGGGGAAUAUUGCACAAUGGGGGAAACCCUGAUGCAGCAACGCCGCGUGAAGGAAGACGGUUCUCGGAUUGUAAAACUCUGUUCUUAGUGAAGAAUAAUGACGGUAGCUAAGGAGCAAGCCACGGCUAACUACGUGCCAGCAGCCGCGGUAAUACGUAGGUGGCAAGGGUUGUCCGGAAUUACUGGGUGUAAAGGGAGCGCAGGCGGGAAGCCAAGUCAGCUGUGAAAAUUACGGGCUUAACUUGUAGACUGCAGUUGAAACUGGUUUUCUUGAGUGAAGUAGAGGUUGGCGGAAUUCGGGGUGUAGCGGUGAAAUGCGUAGAUAUUCGGAGGAACACCGAUGGCGAAGGCGGCCAGCU
rnacentral:rRNA from 1 species